UACGGGGGGAGCAAGCGUUGUUCGGAUUUACUGGGCGUAAAGGGCGCGUAGGCGGCGCAACAAGUCACUUGUGAAAUCUCCGGGCUUAACCCGGAGCGGCCAAGUGAUACUGUCGUGCUAGAGUGCGGAAGGGGCUACUGGAAUUCUCGGUGUAGCGGUGAAAUGCGUAGAUAUCGAGAGGAACACCUGCGGCGAAGGCGGGUAGCUGGGCCGACACUGACGCUGAGGAGCGAAAGCAUGGGGAGCGAACAGG
rnacentral:rRNA from 1 species